rnacentral:tRNA from 1 species
AGGCAUUUAGUCUAAGUAAGACCAUUGAUUUCGACUCAAUAAAUCAUGCUAAAUCCAUGAGUGCCUU